AGCCCACAAGGAAGGCUGAAGAAGUAAAAACUUGUGGUCUGGUCAAACAUUUCAAUGUUUUGCUCAUUUGAAUGAGCCACCGGAGCAGCUUCCCUCUUCGCCGGCAGCGGUGGCGCUCAAACCAUAAAUGAAACCACCAAUCAAAACGCCUUUUCACUCUGAGCCUAAAUCUGCAAUCAACUUGCCUUAAUUCUCACCGGAUCAACCAAAUCAAAGAUGAAAUUCCAAGAACCCUAGGGCUUGCAGAUGAAAUUAAAUGGCGAAUUCGUGUUAAUUCACACAAUUAGCUUUGGGUUAAUGAUCUUCUGAUUGAGCUCUGCACACCAGUAACAAAGUUAUGGUGAGAAGUGAAGAGAUUAACUACCUCCCGAAAUGAGCUCCGGCGAAGAAGACUUAGAGAAGCUGAAUCCGAGAAUCAGGUUUGUUGAUAUGCAGGUGCAGCUGUAAUCGAUUAUCUUAAUCGGUUACCAACACGAUAACAUGGGUUCUGGGUUGUAAAACAAGGCCUGCUUGCACAUGAAGAAAACAUUGGAUGGAAGGUUAAGUGAGGAGAUGAGACCAUGAAGACUAAAAAACAAUGAAGGUUUAGGAUUAGGCUUAGAAAAAUAGGUGAGUUGACUUUGGUCAAAGUUGACCAAAAAGUCAAAAGUUGACCAAAGUCAACUAUAGGUCAAAGUUGGCAUUUUUUGUAUUCCUUUUUUUUGUAAGAAUAAUGUAAAUGAUAUUGUACAUAGUUUAUGGAUAUUUAUGAAUGCAAAUAGCCUUUUUUAUUUCAA